rnacentral:rRNA from 1 species
GAUGAACGCUGGCGGCGUGCUUAACACAUGCAAGUCGAACGGUGAAGGCGGAGCUUGCUCUGCUGGAUCAGUGGCGAACGGGUGAGUAACACGUGAGCAAUCUGCCCCUGACUCUGGGAUAAGCGCUGGAAACGGCGUCUAAUACUGGAUACGAGCUGCGAAGGCAUCUUCAGCAGCUGGAAAGAACUUCGGUCAGGGAUGAGCUCGCGGCCUAUCAGCUUGUUGGUGAGGUAAUGGCUCACCAAGGCGUCGACGGGUAGCCGGCCUGAGAGGGUGACCGGCCACACUGGGACUGAGACACGGCCCAGACUCCUACGGGAGGCAGCAGUGGGGAAUAUUGCACAAUGGGCGCAAGCCUGAUGCAGCAACGCCGCGUGAGGGAUGACGG